UGGCGCAGUUCACUGAAAUCAGUAAUUGCGCACUGGGAACUAUUUUUAAUAGUUCUCACGCCCCCUUUUUCUGGUUUUCUUUCAGAGCCUUCUGCACCGGCGGAGGCACAGGAUCGCGGCAAGGGGCUCGCAUAGCUAGCUAGCGAGGAGCAGUUCUUGCCUAGGUGGUUUGCUCUUUCUUUUUGUAGUUGAGAGAGAGUGAGAGAUUUUGUAUCCAUGUAUAGAGACCACCUAUGUAUCUACCUUUGGCACUUGUAUUUGGGAUUUCCUUUGUAUUACUUUAUGCUUUUAUUAGUGGAUUCCAGUUUUAUGCUCCUUUCUUUAUUGUAGAACUUAGUAUUAUAUCAUGCUCUGAUACUCCUAGUUGUCUUGUAUUACCGCUUUAUUUAUUGUUGUUUUUAGACGCCUUAUAUGUUUUAGACGUAUGGCGGGUCUGGGCACGCGCCGGGCGGGCUUCCGCUGGGUCCCGGGGCAUGACAGAUUAAUUUGGUAUCAGAGUCUAGGGUUGAGUCUUAGUGGACCUAGCAAACCUUAGGCCGGUUGGACUAUAGGAAAUAGGCUCGUGAGAGACGAGGUCUAUUCGACUUGUGAGCGAAACUAUCAUGAUUGGGUAUUAUGAUAACUCUAAAGAGUUAGAGUUGAUUGGAG
rnacentral:lncRNA from 1 species